rnacentral:rRNA from 1 species
AGAUAUGAUCCAGAGUACCACGGGACACGUGAAACCCUGUGGGAAGCAGGAGGGACCACCCUCCAAGGCUAAAUACUACCUAGUGACCGAUAGCGUAUAGUACCGUGAGGGAAAGGUGAAAAGAACCCCGGGAGGGGAGUGAAAUAGAACCUGAAACCCUGCACUUACAAGCUGUGGAAGCACAUUUCUUGUGUGACCGCGUACUUUUUGUAGAACGGGCCAACGAGUUACGUUAAGUAGCAAGGUUAAGCACUUAAGGUGCGGAGCCGUAGCGAAAGCGAGUUUUAACUGAGCGUUCAGUUACUUGACGUAGACCCGAAACCGGGCGACCUACCCAUGAGCAGGAUGAAGCGAAAGUAAAAUUUCGUGGAGGUCCGAACCCACGAGCGUUGAAAAGCUCGGGGAUGACUUGUGGGUAGCGGUGAAAUUCCAAUCGAGCCCGGAGAUAGCUGGUUCUCCCCGAAAUAGCUUUAGGGCUAGCCUCAAGGUGAGAGAUACGGAGGUAGAGCACUGAAUGUCCUAGGGGGUAUUGCACCUACCGAAGACUAUCAAACUCCGAAUGCCGUCAUCUUAUACUUGGGAGUCAGACUGUGGGUGAUAAGAUUCAUAGUCGAAAGGGCAACAGCCCAGAUCGUCAGCUAAGGUCCCUAAAUGUAAGUUAAGUGGUAAAGGAUGUGGGAUUGCACAGACAACCAGGAUGUUGGCUUAGAAGCAGCCACUCAUUCAAAGAGUGCGUAAUAGCUCACUGGUCGAGUGAUCCUGCGCCGAAGAUUUCCGGGGCUAAAACUUACUACCGAAGCUACGGCAUCAGUAAUGAUGGGUAGGGGAGCUUCCCAUACGGGUUGAAGCAUGACCGUAAGGACAUGUGGACAGUAUGGGAGUGAGAAUGUUGGCAUGAGUAGCGAGAUGUGGGUGAGAAUCCCACAGGCCGUAAACCCAAGGUUUCCAGGGGAAGGUUCGUCCGCCCUGGGUUAGUCGGGACCUAAGCUGAGGCCGAAAGGCGUAGGUGAUGGACAACAGGUUGAU